UAACCCACGAACUUGAUGUUUCACUUCACUUUAUAUUGAUCUGCGACGCUCCAUUUUCACUGCGUCUCUGCGUGGUGGGGUUUUCAAUGGAGGAGGUGGAGAAGGAGACGAAGAAGUAUCGGUCUCUGCCUUCCAACUACGUAUCGCUCGCUCAACUCCAGGAACGCUGGCUCAAAGAGAAAGAACGGAUACAGCGAGAGGAGGAGCAAAAAGAGGAAGACGAACGACAGCGAAAGCUUCAGCUGCAAAAGCUAGAGGAAGAAGAACAGCAGCAGAAGCGAAAGCUUGAGCGUCUUAAGGGAGGGUGCGGCAUCGAUUACAAGCCGAUACAUCGGAAUUGGAAGGCAAAGGAGAAGAUUGAACCUAGGGAAGAGGAACAGCUGGAGGUGAAGCACCGCGCGGCACAAGCAACGCUCGCGGUUGUUGAGAAGGAGAGUGCUCCGGCUAGAAGAAAAGGUGGAUCGAAAGGAGCGAAGGGCGUAUUCAGGUGGAUGAUCGAGAACGCCGAUCGAGCGGCCGAGAUUGGACGGGGACUUGAGGAUUUCUCAACGAAUGGCGAGAAGGAGAAUGCUCCGGCGAGAAGAAACGGUGAAUCGAAGGGAGCGGGGAGUAGAUUGAGGCAGAGAAGAGAGAACACCGAUCGGACGGCGGAGAAUGAAUGGGAAGUUGGGGAUUUCUCAACGAAUGGCGAUAAGGAGAAUGCCCAUUUAAUAAUGAUCAGUAAAUCGAAGGGAACGACGAACGAAUUCAGGCCGAGGAGAGAGAACGCCAAUCGGACGGCUGUGAAUGAACGGGAAGUUGGGGAUUUCUCGAUGAAUGCCGUGAAGGACAAUCUGCCGGCGAGAAGGAGCGGUGAAUCGAAGGGCGCGAGGAGUAAAUUGUGGGGGACGAGAGAGAACGCCGAUCAGACGGCGGACAAUGAACGGGAAGAUGGGAACUUCUUAACGAAUGGCGUGAAGGAGGACGCUCAUUUAAGAAGGAGCGGUAAACUGACGGGAACGACGAACGAACUCAGGCCGAGGAGAGAGAACCCCAAUCGGACGGCCGAGAAUGAACGGGAAGUUGGGGGUUUCUCAACGAAUGGUGUGAAGGAGAAUCCUCCGGCGAGAAGGAACGGAAAAUCGAAGAAAGAGAGACGGAAGAAUAGACCGAGUCGGAAGAGAGAGAACGCUGAUCGGACGGUGAAAAAUGAACGGGAAGCUGGGGAUUUCUCAACGGUCGGCGUGAACAGCGAGACGGAGAAUGCCUCGGUAGGAGGAAACGGUGAAUCGAAGGGAGAUUGGAGCAGAUCUAGGCGUACAAGAGAGAAUGCCGAUCCGACGGCCGAGAAUGAACGAGAAGUUGGGGAUUUAUCAACUAAUGGCGAGAAGGGAGUAUGCUCCACCGAAUUCAGGCCAAUGGCAGAGAACGCUGAUCGGACUUGUGUGAUAGAAGAGAAACUGGGGGAUUCCUCAACGAAUGGUGAGAAGGAAGGUUGCUCCAGCGAAUUCAGGCCGUAUAGAGAGAACGCUGAUCCGACGCAGAUUGAACGGGACCUUGGGCAUUUCUCAAUAAAUGUUAAGAAUGAAAAAGCAAACGUUAGAGCGACGAGGCCGAACACUGGUAUGUAUCACGAUAACAGGGAGUACAAGGGAUACUUUGUUGCUAGGCAUCGCAGUAACUGGGAGUACAGGGUACAUGGAAAGGUUGGUGGUCGAGGUAGUGGUGCUGGAAAUAAUGGAAUGGUCUGGGUUAGGAAAGGAGAGCUUUCUGAUGGUCCAAGCCCGGGGAAUUGGAAUGGUUGAAAUUGCUUUGCCAUAUUUUGUGCAGUGAUGCUGAGUCUGGUUUUUGGGUAUGCGUUAGCUUCUGGCAGUAUUUUAUUUUUUGCUUUCGCUGUAAAAUGAUCAUCUGGGUGAGCAAUUGAAGUUUCCUUAAACCCUGUGUCAUGGCCAUUGCAAACACGCCUCAACUAAUUACUGACAAAGCCAUUUGUUGCGUAUAAAGGUAUGAUCUUGGCCCCUUGCUAUUCUAUUUCAACUAAUAGCAUUAGUAAUGGCCUAACCAUUUUUAUUCACUAUAAAACAUAACAUUUUCUCAAUAAUUUUAUUCACUUCAACUUAAGUCUAUCUGUGAAUUUUUAUUUUAUUUUUUCAUUUUCUCCUAAUGAAUUGUUUGUUUUUUCAAAAAAUGAUACUUAUCUAUUCAGAUUGUUGUAAAAAUCAAGAGAUCUCACAUUUUACUUGCUAAUUCCAGAAAAGCAUCCACAAUUAACAUAAAUCAACAAGAAGUGGAUCCGGUUCAAUCAAAGCCACAUUACACAUGUAAAGACCAGAACUACCACCAAAACCACAUUCUGGAAAGGGAUGCUAUAUCUUUAAACUAGUGCUGAUGAGUUGGAGGACAAGAUCGCCUGAUCGCCUGAUUACCAGAGUUAAUCUGCAUUCUAUAUUCUUUAUUUUAUUUUAUUUAUUUUAUUAGCACCUGAUAUCCGAGAAUGAAGUUUCCACUAAUUCUAGGAUGCACACAAGCUCUUGGUAAAGUGUUUUUCGUAAAUGCAAUUCGAAUAACUUAAGAAAAAUCUCUUCGAAUUCAAUUGUGCCGAAAAAUUAUUUGCAUCCAAUAAUCUAUUAAAAAAACAAUUUAGUUGUUUAA